AGUGAACUGUUUUUUGUUUCACAUUACCAAGUUUGUUGCUCUAUGGUUAAUGUUAGUUUCUUUAGCAGUUUGUUGCUCUAUGGUUAAUGUUAGUUUCUUUAGCAGUUUGUUGCUCUGUGGUUAAUGUUAGUUUCUGUAGCUGUUGUUUUAUGUGUAAUGUUAAGUUUCUUUAGCAGUUCGUUGUUUUUUGGGUAAUUUUAGUUUCUUUAGCAAUGUUUGUUGUUUUGUGUAAUGUUAGUUUCUAUAGCAGUUUGUUGUUUUGUGUAAUGUUAGUUUCUAUAGCAGUUUGUUGUUUUAUGGGUAAUGUUAGUUUCUUUACCAGUUUGUUGUUUUGUGUGUAAUUCUAGUUUCUUUAGCUGUUUGUUGUUUUAUGGGUAAUGUUAGUUUCUUUAGCAGUUUGUUUUAUGGGUAAUGUUAGCGUUAGUGUUGUUUUUGCAUUGUUGCUUUCGCAGCUUGUUGUUUAAUGAGUAAUGCAGUCUGUACAAUCCUUGCUAAGCAGUCUGCAUUGAAACAGCAGUUGAUACUGUAGAACAUUGGUAUUGUCAAGGCUGUGGGCAAUGAUGCUCAAGUCCCCCUCCAUUCUUGGGUGAUGUCUGUCAGAUAGCAUUGUGGCACUGUAAAUAUUAUCUAUAAGGAAACACAAUGGUUUUCAUUAAAAACCUUCAUGAGCUCUA